GACGAACGCUGGCUACAGGCUUAACACAUGCAAGUCGAGGGCCCGGCGCACGGGUGAGUCACACGUAUCCACCCUGCCCUUUACUCGGGGAUAGCCUCUCGAAAGAAAGAUUAAUACCCGAUCUAAUGGAUGGGGAUGCGUUCCCUUAGGUUGUUGGUGAGGUAACGGCCCACCAAGCCUUCGAUGGAUCGGGGUUCUGAGAGGAAGGUCCCCGACAUUGGAACUGAGACACGGUCCAAACUCGUACGGGAGGCAGCAGUGAGGAAUAUUGGUCAAGGGGCGUUAGCCUGAACCAGCCAAGUAGCGUGAAGGAUGAAGGCUUAUGGGUCGUAAACUUCUUUUAUAUAAGAAUAUGUAUUAUAUGAAUAAGGAUCGGCUAACUCCGUGCCAGCAGCCGCGGUAAUAC
rnacentral:rRNA from 1 species